UACGGAGGGGGCUAGCGUUGUUCGGAAUUACUGGGCGUAAAGCGUACGUAGGCGGCUUUGUAAGUUAGAGGUGAAAGCCCGGGGCUCAACUCCGGAAUUGCCUUUAAGACUGCAUCGCUUGAAUCAUGGAGAGGUUAGUGGAAUUCCGAGUGUAGAGGUGAAAUUCGUAGAUAUUGGGAGGAACACCGGUGGCGAAGGCGGCGAUCUGGGUGGUGACUGACGCUGAGGCGCGAAAGCGUGGGGAGCAAACAGG
rnacentral:rRNA from 1 species